rnacentral:rRNA from 1 species
CGCGUAGGCGGGGAGGUAAGUCGGGUGUGAAAUCCCUCGGCCCAACCGAGGAACUGCGCCCGAGACUGCUUCUCUUGAGUCCCGGAGAGGAAGGUGGAAUUCCCGGUGUAGCGGUGAAAUGUGUAGAGAUCGGGAGGAACACCGGUGGCGAAGGCGGCCUUCUGGACGGUGACUGACGCUGAGGCGCGAAAGCGUGGGGAGCAAAACGG